GGGGGUAUCACUAGACUAGCAUCCAUGGAGUUCAGCAUCAUAUCUUCAUCUACAAACUUCUGAUCAAAAUUAAGCAAGGGUGAGCUCACUUAUGGUCGGGGCUCAGCAAGUGGGGGAAAAACUAAUGCAAGUUUAACAAGGUGAGGCUAAGGUUAAGCAGUAACCAUUUUAGUUGGUCAACAUUUUAUUAACAACACAUGUCUUACUAAUAAGUGUGAAUCCCAAGUAUUCCCAUUAAACAAAGGUAUAAGAGUAUAUCAAAAACACUUAAGUGAAACCACUUAAGCAAACCAUUGACAGAUCAUCGGAUCUUGAUUUAUUUCCAUCCUCAAGUUCAAUUAUCAUGUGAGGAGUCCAGGCUGCUCUUAACCGUGAGCACGGCUGAUAUAUCAGUUUUACACUCUGCAGAGGUGGCGCAUCUUUACCCAUGAGUCGCGAUUCCCUUCUAGCCCGGGUUAGCUAGACACGUAUUCACUUCCGAGGUGAAUGGUCAGGGUCUCACUACGAGGCUUCUCCCUAGAGUCCUCAUUACGCAAAUGCUAGAAAUGGUCAACUGCAUAAGGUACACCUACCGUAACCAACUUAUAGUCCAGACUGUUAGAAAUAUGCCCUAGAGAUAAUCAUAGAGAUGAGCAUAUUUCUUUGUAUCCAUGAUAUAUAUUGCUUAAUUGAAUAUCCAUGGAAGGCACCUUGUAUUGAUUAGCAAUUAUGUGAAUUGUUUGUGAGAUUCUUUACUUAUAUGGUUAUUCUAAAUGAUGUCCCUAGUCAGAGUCGAUGACUAGCACAUGUAUUAGUUGAUGACUACAUUUCACAAGUCAUGAACAUGGAGAUGUUAAACUGAUAAUGUGGGCGCAUGUAUGACAUGAGGCUGGACCGACCCAACGUGAGAUAUUGUAAUAUAGUUCUCUUCUUGCAACAUGAAUACUGUAUCCUUAGACCUGAGAUUGUCGCAUGUUCUCAAGAUGUGAAUUGACUUACUUAGGGACUAUCAAACGCUAUCCCGUAACUGGGUAGUUAUAAAGGUAGUUUUGGGUUUGUCAGGAAGCAUGCUAUGAGGCAUGGUCAGUCAAGAUGGAAUUUGUCCCUCUCUUUGUGAGAGAGAUAUCUCUGGGCCCCUCGAGUGAUUGGAUCAAGAAAUGCAUGGUCGUGCUAGGGUUAAGAGUUAACCAUUGAAAGGAUUCUAAUUCACAGUAUCGAGAAAGAGAGGUCAGCUUAGAGCCAGACCAAAUAUCGUGAGACAAAGGGAACAGCAUGUACGUAAUGUCGCAAUGGUUCGUCUGAUAUGAUCUUUACGUACACAUAGGAGUUGACAUGUCUUGCUAGAGGCCGCUGUCAAUUAUUGGGCCAAGUAAGAGUACUCGGCCUAUGUCUAUUUGUACGUGAACCUAUAGGGUCACACACUUAAGGGGAAGGAAGCCUAAUUCGGAUUAGAUACGAAAUUAGACUGGGCUUUAGGGUUAAUGAUGGGCCUCGGCGUCAGAAGCCCACCAUAACGCCUAUAUAAUGAGGGGCGGGGGCGCGGUUAAGGAUAACCCUAAUUCGCCACCAGCGAACUAACAGCCGCCGCCCACCUCUCGCCCUCGCCAAGCCGCCGUCGCGAACCUAGCAGUUCGGUACGCGGCGCUUCCUCCCUGUACGUGUCGAUACCUCGGAGGUGCUGCAUCUGGAGCACUUGGACGAACCGUGCGAGGACGUGAAGGACGCCGGCGACUGCACGGCACUGCUCGACGCGUUCGUCUACAUCGAGACGUCUUCCGCUGCUCUGCGCGUCUAGUGGUAAUUCCAUGACCUAUAACCGCAGUAGUUCUUGGUAUUAUGGGGAUGAAAAUUUUGUUUUGCGCUAGCGUAGCCUCCCCGAAAUCCUACAGUGGUAUCAGAACCAGGUUCUACGUAAGUUUUAGGUCUGGAUCUAUGUUCAUGUGAUGGAUCUACUUGAUGCACGGUUUGAUUAGAUCAAUUGGUAAUAAAGGGUUGAAGUAGAUUACAUCGGAUAUGACUGGAGAGAUCAGUUCGUCCUUCUCUGUUGUAUGCGCGACUUGCCCCUACCGGCUGGAAUCACCAUCGGGGCUAACUGCGUACACAACCAGCAGAUUGACGCAACAGAUCGACGUCAUGAGUGUAAUCUUCUUCGGGUCGAAAGUCUCGGAUUUGGGUUGAUUUGAUCAACCGCAUGAGAUUUCCAGUGGAAUUUCCAUACAUACGAUGCAUGGAAUCCUGUGAGGGUUUAGGGUUUAGGGACCGCCGUGGCUAUCUGCUGUAGUGGCGAACGUAUAGAAACGUGUUUGUCUAACCUGUUUUUGCAGGACAUGUGAUCGGUAUGGCUAUUAUGUGUAUGUGAUGCAUGUUAACAAAUUAUUCAUGACCUGCGUGUCGUGACCAGGGCAAUACGGCUGGAGCCACAUGUAUUGUCCAAAUUUAAUGUAAUGACCUGCGUGUCAACAUGUGAUGAUCCAAAGCGUAUAUGUAAUUUGUUUACCAGCAUACGUUAGAUAGGUCUUGAAGGACUCAUCACCUGGAGGAUGGCAUACCUAUAUCAUGGAGAUGGAGAUCAUCGUGAUGGACAGAUUAUUGGAGAUGGAGAUCACCAUGUGAAAACAAGCCAUACCGAAUCACAACUGUUGUGUGAAUGCCAUUCUUAUUGUUCUACUUGUUUAUAUUGCAUAUAUGUCCUUGCGUGCGAUGUUAUAAGUAGGACGAUCCCUCAUAAAUGUUUAAGCUUUAAUGCCUCUCCAAACCUUGCACUAUCAUAAGUCUUGUACAAUUGGUGGUGGGUCUAUGAAAUUAGGGUGCCACCAGUUUUCCUUGACUAGAUAGGUUUGUAUCGGAUACGAACUGCAGAAAGGGUUGGUUAACUUAAACAAAGUCAGCUUAAUGGUUAAGGACUUUGAGGCAUAAGGUUGGGAGCCGAGACAUAGAGAUGUCACCCAACAACAGGAGUCAUAUAUAUGAUAUGAUUAGCAAGGAGUUGCUUACCGAUCUACCUUGUCUUCUAGCGGUGAUGCUAAAGCUCACUAGUAGACUUGUUAGUUGUGGAUUCUGAACCACUAAGUAUCAAUAGAGGGAUAUUGAUUUUAGUGGGAGUAGACUAUUAAAUGUUUAAUAUGAUUUACUCUGUCAUGGAUAUUUUUGUCUUAGUAUUUUGCAUUAUUUUGUUGUAGAUGGCACCUAGCACACCAACAUUUACUUUGCGAUCAAUUCUUGAAAAGGAUAAGUUAAAUGGAACAAACUAUACGGAUUGGAUCCGUAACCUGAGAAUUGUUCUCAGGGCUGAAAAAAAAAGGAAGACGUUCUAGACACCCCACUGCAGAGGAUCCUGGUGAAAAUGCAACUGCUGCAGCUAAAACCGCUUACAAGAAAGCAAUGGAUGCUAAUCUUGAAGUGAGUUGCCUAAUGCUUGCUUGCAUGGAGCCUGAGCUCCAGAUGCAGUUUGAGACAAACCAUGAGGUGUACGACAUGAUCGUGGCACUCAAGGAUAUGUUCCAGACUGAGGCUAGGACUGAAAGGUUCAAUGUGUCCAAAGCCUUUCUGGAAUGCAAGCUAGCAGAAGGCGCAGCAGUUGGGCCACAUGUAAUCAAAAUGGUUGGUUACAGUCAGAGGUUGGAGAAGCUAGGCUUCCCAAUAAGCCAAGAGUUGGCCACUGACUUCAUUUUGGCAUCUCUUCCGCCCAGCUAUGGAAACUUCAUCACGAACUACCAUAUGCAUGGGGCGGAGAGGGGCCUCAAUGAACUAUGUGGCAUGCUGAAAACUGCAUAGGGGGACAUAAAGAAAAGUGCUGGCAGCAGCGGCCAUGUGAUGGCGGUCCAAAACAAACCCAACUUUAAGAAGAAGGGUAAGUCUCAAAAGAAGAAGGGCAAGGGAAAGGAUACAGUAUCCAAGCCCAAUCAAAAGCCCAAGGCUGGACCAGCUGCAGAUGCAGAGUGCUUUUAUUGCAAAGAACUUGGUCACUGGAAAAGGAAUUGCAAGCAGUACUUGGCCUCUAUUAAGGAUCGCGGCGGUAAGGGUACAGCCGCAGCAGGUACACUUGCUAUUCACAUUACAGAAAUUUUUCUUGCUGAUUCUUAUAUUAAUUCUUGGGUAUUUGAUACCGGAUCGGUUGCCCAUAUUUGCAAUUCGAUGCAGGGAAUGAUAAGAAGUAGAAGCGUGAAAAGAGGAGAAGUUGAUUUCCGGGUAGGCAAUAAUGCAAGAGUUGCUGCGUUGACCGUCGGGACGAUGCAACUCCACCUCCCAUCAGGAUUUAUUUUGGAGUUAAAUAAUUGUUAUCUAGUUCCUAGUAUGAGUCGAAACAUUAUGUCUCCUUCAUGUUUGAUGAAGGAUGGUUAUUCAUUUGCGAGUGAAAACAAUGGUUGUGUGAUCUCUAAGAAUGGCAUGUUUGUGGCUUUUGCAUCCAUUAUGAAUGGGUUAUUCAUUUUAAAUCUUGAUGAUGCACCUAUCUGUAAUAUUAGUGCUAAAAGGCCUCGGCCUAAUGAUUUAAGUCCUACCUACAUGUGGCACUGUCGUUUGGGUCAUAUAAGUGAGAAUCGCAUGAAGAAGCUUCAUUCUGAUGGGCUUUUAACUUCGUUUGAUUUUGAAUCAUACGAGACAUGUGAAGCUUGCUUACUUGGUAAGAUGACCAAGGCGCCUUUCACGGGUUUACCGGAGAGGACAUUAGAUUUAUUGGAACUCAUACAUACUGAUGUGUGCGGACCAAUGAGUACGACAGCUAGGGGAGGAUUCCAAUACUUCAUAACCUUCACUGAUGAUUUUAGUAGAUAUGGGUAUGUCUACUUAAUGAAACACAAGUCUGAAUCCUUAGAAAAGUUCAAAGAGUUUCAGAAUGAAGUAGAAAAUCAGCGUGGCAAGAAAAUUAAAGCACUGCGAUCAGAUCGUGGUGGUGAAUAUUUGAGUCAUGAGUUUAGCAAUCAUCUAAAGAGUUGUGGAAUUGUUCCACAGCUUACGCCGCCUGGAACGCCUCAGAGGAAUGGCGUGUCUGAGCGACGUAAUCGGACUUUAUUGGAUAUGGUUCGAUCAAUGAUGAGCCAGUCGGACCUACCUUUGUCGUUUUGGGGAUACGCUCUAGAAACAGCAGCUUUCACACUAAAUAGGGUACCGUCUAAGUCCGUAGUUAAGACACCAUAUGAGAUGUGGACUGGGAAGACUCACAGCUUGUCUUUUCUGAAGAUUUGGGGUUGUGAGGUUUACGUCAAGCGACUACAGUCGGAUAAACUCACUCCAAAAUCGGACAAGUGCAUGUUCGUGGGAUAUCCAAAAGGAAACUUUAGGAUAUUACUUUUACCACCGGUCAGAGGGCAAAGUGUUUGUCGCCCGGAACGGUGUGUUCUUAGAGAAAGAGUUUCUCAAAAGAGAGAAAAGUAAACAAAAGGUGUAUCUUGAAGAAGUUCAGGAUGAGCCAGUGGGACAAGAUUCAACAAGUGAUGCUAAUGUAGCAGAACAAGUUGAGACGUCUAUGGCAAGAGAAUCACCACCACAACCACGAAGGUCAGCAAGGCUUCGCGAGGCACGAGGAGAAGUGCUAUUGUUGGGCAAUGGGGAAGUGUUGUUGUUAGACAACGACGAACCUGCAACAUAUUCAGAAGCGAUGAUGGACCCAGAUUCCGAGAAAUGGCAUGUCGCCAUGAGAUCCGAGAUAGAUUCCAUGGGAGAAAAUCAAGUUUGGAACUUGGUUGACCCGCCUGAUGGUGUUAGACCUAUAGAAUGCAAAUGGAUCUAUAAGAAGAAGAAAGACAUGGAUGGAAAUGUUCACAUCUAUAAGGCUCGACUUGUUGCAAAGGGUUUUCGACAAGUUCAAGGAGUUGACUAUGACGAGACAUUCUCGCCAGUAGCGAUGCUUAAAUCUAUUCGGAUCAUUCUAGCUAUUGCCGCAUAUUUCGAUUAUGAGAUUUGGCAGAUGGAUGUCAAAACAGCUUUCCUUAAUGGAAACCUAGAUGAGGACGUGUAUAUGAUACAACCCGAGGGUUUUGUCGAUCCGAUCAAUGCUGGAAAGAUAUGCAAACUUCAGAAAUCCAUUUAUGGGUUGAAGCAAGCAUCUCGGAGUUGGAACAUUCGUUUUGAUGAAGUGAUCAAAGGGCUUGGUUUUCAUCAGAAUGAAGAAGAAGCUUGUGUUUACAAGAAGGAAAGUGGGAGCGCUGUUGUAUUUCUGAUCUUGUAUGUGGAUGACAUAUUAUUGAUUGGGAAUGACAUUCCUAUGCUGGAGUCCGUCAAGGCUUCACUGAAAAAGAGUUUUUCUAUGAAGGACUUAGGGGAAGCAGCAUAUAUUUUGGGCAUAAGGAUCUAUAGAGAUAGGUCGAAGAGGCUUAUAGGAUUAAGUCAAGUUACAUACAUUAACAAGGUUUUGAAACGGUUCAACAUGGAACAGUCCAAGAAAGGUUUCAUACCUAUGUCACAUGGUAAACACCUUAGCCAGAUGCAAUGUCCUGCGAUGGCUAAUGAGCGGGAGCGCAUGAGUAAGGUACCAUACGCCUCAGCGAUUGGAUCAAUCAUGUAUGCCAUGAUAAGUACACGCCCAGAUGUUUCAUACGCUAUAAGUGCUACGAGUAGAUACCAGGCUGAUCCAGGUGAGGAUCACUGGACAGCGGUAAAAGGCAUUCUUAAGUACUUAAGAAGGACUAAAGAUAUGUUCCUGGUAUAUGGGGGUAAGGAGGAGCUCGUUGUAACUGGUUACACCGAUGCUAGCUUCCAAACUGACCCAGACGAGUUAAAAUCGCAAUCAGGUUUUGUGUUCACAAUAAAUGGUGGUGCUGUUAGUUGGAAGAGUUCCAAACAGGAGACUGUGACUGAUUCUACAACAGAAGCCGAGUACAUUGCAGCUUCUGAAUCUGCGAAGGAAGGUGUUUGGAUAAGGAAGUUCCUCAUCGAGCUUGGUGUGUUUCCUAAUGCAUCUAGCCCAUUGAACCUCUACUGUGACAACAAUGGGGCUAUUGCGCAAGCUAAGGAGCCAAGGAACCACCAGAAAAACAAACACGUACUGCGGAAGUUUCACCUCAUACGGGAAUUCAUUAGGCGGGGUGAGAUAAAGAUAUGCAAAAUACAUACGGAUUUGAAUGUUGCUGAUCCUUUGACAAAACCUCUUCCACAACCUAAGCAUGAGGCACACGUGAGAUCUAUGGGUAUUAGAUAUCUUCUAGAUUAACUCUAGUGCAAGUGGGAGACUGUUAGAAAUAUGCCCUAGAGAUAAUCAUAGAGAUGAGCAUAUUUCUUUGUAUCCAUGAUAUAUAUAUUGCUUAAUUGAAUAUCCAUGGAAGGCACCUUGUAUUGAUUAGCAAUUAUGUGAAUUGUUUGUGAGAUUCUUUACUUAUAUGGUUAUUCUAAAUGAUGUCCCUAGUCAGAGUCGAUGACUAGCACAUGUAUUAGUUGAUGACUACAUUUCACAAGUCAUGAACAUGGAGAUGUUAAACUGAUAAUGUGGGCGCAUGUAUGACAUGAGGCUGGACCGACCCAACGUGAGAUAUUGUAAUAUAGUUCUCUUCUUGCAACAUGAAUACUGUAUCCUUAGACCUGAGAUUGUCGCAUGUUCUCAAGAUGUGAAUUGACUUACUUAGGGACUAUCAAACGCUAUCCCGUAACUGGGUAGUUAUAAAGGUAGUUUUGGGUUUGUCAGGAAGCAUGCUAUGAGGCAUGGUCAGUCAAGAUGGAAUUUGUCCCUCUCUUUGUGAGAGAGAUAUCUCUGGGCCCCUCGAGUGAUUGGAUCAAGAAAUGCAUGGCCGUGCUAGGGUUAAGAGUUAACCAUUGAAAGGAUUCCAAUUCACAGUAUCGAGAAAGAGAGGUCAGCUUAGAGCCAGACCAAAUAUCGUGAGACAAAGGGAACAGCAUGUACGUAAUGUCGCAAUGGUUCGUCUGAUAUGAUCUUUACGUACACAUAGGAGUUGACAUGUCUUGCUAGAGGCCGCUGUCAAUUAUUGGGCCAAGUAAGAGUACUCGGCCUAUGUCUAUUUGUACGUGAACCUAUAGGGUCACACACUUAAGGGGAAGGAAGCCUAAUUCGGAUUAGAUACGAAAUUAGACUGGGCUUUAGGGUUAAUGAUGGGCCUCGGCGUCAGAAGCCCACCAUAACGCCUAUAUAAUGAGGGGCGGGGGCGCGGUUAAGGAUAACCCUAAUUCGCCACCAGCGAACUAACAGCCGCCGCCCACCUCUCGCCCUCGCCAAGCCGCCGUCGCGAACCUAGCAGUUCGGUACGCGACGCUUCCUCCCUGUACGUGUGGAUACCUCGGAGGUGCUGCAUCUGGAGCACUUGGACGAACCGUGCGAGGACGUGAAGGACGCCGGCGACUGCACGGCACUGCUCGACGCGUUCGUCUACAUCGAGACGUCUUCCGCUGCUCUGCGCGUCUAGUGGUAAUUCCAUGACCUAUAACCGCAGUAGUUCUUGGUAUUAUGGGGAUGAAAAUUUUGUUUUGCGCUAGCGUAGCCUCCCCGAAAUCCUACACAGACUACAGGGUAAAGCUUUGAGAACUAUGCACGUAUCCAAUUUGCCUGAGCCGGAACUAUAAGCGCUUGUCAGAUGCCCCCGUUCCGGUCGACCACGACCAACACCCAACAUAAGACUUCCCUAGUUAUUUAGCCAAGACCAGAGCCAUGAUAGUUCUCAUGGUAGCACUGUUUUCCUAGGUGGUCACUCCAUGUUCCAAUUAAUAUGCAAUAAUAUUGUUUAACCAUUGGGUUAACAACAAUAAAGUAAACUUACCAUUUGGAACAUCAUAAACAGGAGUGACUGCAUAAAGUUAAGUUGUAGCAAUAGCAUAGCUACUUAAUUAGAUCAUAAUCCCAAGUUAAACAAGGAGUAAGGUUGGAAAGGUUAGGGGUGUCUAAAUAUGUAUCCCAUCAAAUUAUGCACAUAUAUAUCCAAGAAUAAAAUUUAUUAAAUGUAUUGUUUGGGAUCAAACAGAAUAUGCAGAGGGAGAAAUCCACUUGCCUUGCUUAUUGAAAACUUGAGGUUCUUCCACAAAUAGGAAUAGAUCUUGAUUCUUAACUACUAGAUCAACCACUGAAUAUCACACAAACAAACAAGAAGAACAAACACCACUCAAUAACAUACCACAUUCACCAUACGUAAAGCUAAAAGAGAGCCUAACGAAAAGAGCGUUCGCUUUUCAAAACAUCGCAAGUAAUGGUUAUAAUAAGAGGGUAUUCGUUUCAAAAAUGUGAUCUAUACUUUAUAAAACAAGACAUGAGCUUAAAAAUAUCCUAAUUAAAAUAUACAAAUAUUGGGUUCAUCAAUUUUAAUCUUUUAUAAAACGUCAUAUGUGAUACGCCUAAGAUAAAGGGUUUAUAAGAUGAUAAAACACAUAAUAACAAUAUUAAACCUUUUUAACUUUUUAGAAAAGGUAUAUGUUAUAUAUCUAAGGUUAAUGAGCUAUGAAACACAUUAUUAAACAUUACUUUUAUAACAAGCUCAUAAAUAGCUUAAACAACUUUUAUGUGGAAAGAUCAUAAUUAUAUUAUUAAUCACCUAUUUAAGACGAGUUAGGUUAUGGGCCUUAAGUGGAUUUUCAUGCAAAAGAUAAUAAACAAAUAACUAUCUUUUAAUUUCAUUAGAAAACACAUAGCCUAUAUUAUUAUAUUCAAAGUCAAUAUAUAAAGUAGCAUUUUAAGUUAUAAAAGAACUUAAACUCCUAUUACUUUAUUUUAUCGUUUAGGAAAAGCUAAGUGAUUCGUAUAUAAUGUGGACUAAAUUUUAUGAAAUCAUUAAUCAUGUCAUAAAUCUAGUUAAGAACAAAUUGACUAUAGGUUUGAUUAAUAAAUUAUAAUAAAGAAUAAUUAAUAUAUUAAUUAUCUUUAAUGCUAUUGUAGGAAUAAAUGAUCUAAUUCGUUGGAAAGGAAAUUAUAUAUAAACUAUCAUUUUAGUUUGUAAAAGCAAUGACCCUUGUUAUCUUUUAAUUAAGAAAAUAUAAUUAAUCUAUUAAUUGGACAUAUGUUUAUUUUCUAUUUUUAUUAAGAAACAUAUGGUCUACAUAUUCUUUUAAGUUUCUAUUUAAUACGGCUAUACUUAAACAUCUAUAACGAACCUUGUUAAAUAUAAUAUCUAUUAAAAGGUCAUUUUAAACUAGAAACAAGUUAUCUAAUUCUUUAGUAAGAAACCUAUGUUUACCAACAUACUAUCAGUUUAUUUAUUAGAAAAGUAUGAGCGCCUAAUUAAGUCAUUUUAACAUUAUUACAAAUUCUACUUUUUCCUAGUGUGAAUAACAAUAUAUUUAUGCAUAUAAUCCUAUAAAACUUUGAUUAUAAAACUAAAUUAUGAAGAUAACUAAAUAAAUGUCUUUGUACUAUUUUUAACUAAGAAAAGUGUGGUCUACUUUUCUUUUGAUUUCUUAUUUAGAAAAAUUAUAUUCAAAGCAACUAAAUUAACCAUAAUUUAAAUCAAAUUACAAGAAUAUAAAAAUUGCAGCAAACACUAAUUCAAACUGCGCAUCACAUAAUUUUUGAAGCUAAUAAAACUAUUCUUAUUUUAUUUGAAUUACAAAUAUUCAGUUAAACAAAAUACAAACGCCAUAGGAUCUACACGAUAUUAACUAUAGACAUCGAGGGGUAGCUCACAAAAUUAGAAGUUGUCUUCUAUCUGUCCACAACAAUAGCAGGGCGCAGGCUUCCGGCGUUGUGGAGCGAGGAGUCGACGACGUUCGAUGUCGCAGCAGGGGAUCUCUGGUGCGGGCUCGAGCGUUAGUCGGGGUGUGGGAUGUUGACGGGGAAACUCCGACAUGGAGCACCGGCGAGUAGCACGUAGGGAACAUGCCUCGGUCACUGGAACUUUCGACAACGGCGAGGUCACUGCACGAGUAUGGGCGCAGGGACUCGGCGAACGACGACGCGGUACAGCGAGCAGGGAACUCUAGUGAGAGGCGCAGAUAACGGCGUGGCACAGCAACAUGGCGUGAUGGAGGCGUGAGCUCUAGCGAGUGCAGUGGAGCACGCACGACAACAGAGCAGCAAGGCAUGCGGAGCUCAAGCGACGAACGGCGGACAGGAAGAGAGAGGAGAGCUUGAGAGAGAGCUCGGGGAGGAAGAGAGGGAGGGAGUUCGGGCGCUUUUAUAGAGCGAGAGGGGAGAGAAACGGUGGUAGGUGUCUUCAAUCGGCCAUCAAUGUCGUUCAUCAACGGAGGGAUUAAUGGGGGACGAAAACAGAUGACUUCUCCUUUACUCGCGAAGAAGAACGGUUGGCUCGGCUUCAUGGCACGGUCGUCGCGCGGGUGCCUGGGCGGGAUGGCCGGGUCGCGCGGUGGCGCGUUGAUGGCGCGGUCGGGCGCCUGGGUCGGUUGCUCGACGCGCAUGGCAGGGCGGCUCAGGGGCGCGCGGGAUCGUGUCGGGCGCGCGGCUUCGGGGUCGCCUGCUCGGUCGGCUGGAGCUGCUCGGCUCUGGGCGGCGCGCGCGGUGAGAGCAGGUGAGGGGAGGGGAGAAGGCCGGGUGAGGGAGAGGAGCAGGGGUGGCAGCGGCUUGCAGCAGGGAGAGGAGCGCGCGUGGCUAGGGUAGGAGGGGGCGCGCGGCUGGCUCUUCGUGGGUCUAAUGGGCCAAAUUCGUUAGGGUUUCGUUUUUUUUCUUUUUUUUCCUUUUGUAAAUUCGAGUUAUAUUUUUAAGUAACCCUAAAUUUCAUAAUAACCACAACAAAACUAUUUAUAAAUAAAAUAUUUAUUUUUGGACUAAUAAUUAUUAUAUUAUUUAUUUAUUAAGAUUUUCAUUUAAGAAGAAAUGUUAUUCAAUAACCAAAAAUCAAUUAUGCGCAAUGAGAAAUAAAAAAUCAUUCCAAAGUCAAAUAAAUAACAAACACUUAAAAUAAAAUUUUAAUUACCAUAAAUAUCAUUUAUAACUAAAUGUAUUAUUUUUUUGAUGAUUUUUAUAACGUUACAUAAUUCCACCCAAAUAAGUGAUCAAAGACAGGAUAAAUUAAUCGUUAGGUAUUAAUGUGUAAAUACGCGAAGAUGAAUUAUAAAGUGGGUAGGACAUAGAUAGGUUAAAGGACACUUGCCUUCACAAACCAGCUGCUGCUUAGGGUCUUCUCCUGCAACUUCCUUGGACUCCAAAAACGGACCGUUAUCUAUGCGAGGGCAAACAUACAUUCACAUCUUUAAAUCAGAAAAGAAACAGUACACUAUAUAAGAAAACAAAUCAACUAGAUACACACGUGACAUAUAACUUGCAUUUGCGAUUACUCGAGAGAGAAAGGAACUGCAACGACUAAAGCUAUGGUCAAGGGGUAUUACAUGUAUGCUAAGCGAAUAUUAAUUAUAAUAUUUUAUUCGACCUAGCCAUAUUAACAGGUACCUAUCACAUGCAUAGAUGAAAUUAUUACUUAGUUUCGAUUGGUUUGCUACUCGGAUAAUUAUCAUUUAAUUACAUGAGUUAAUUAGCAUGAGUGAUUACAGGUGAAGUGAAUUAUUAACACGUAACAACACGUGCGAUGACGUGCACCACACGUGUGAACGACACGUGAUAAUUUUAGGAUAUGUUUGGUUCUCUGCCUAACUUGCCACACUUUGUCUUGCCUAACUUUUCUGUCUAAGUCUGCCUAACUUGCCACACUUUGCCUUGCCUAACUUUUCUGUCUAAGGUUAGUUCUUCAAUUUAAACGACUAACCUUAGACAAAGUGUAACGUAGUUAGCCACGAACCAAACAAGUCCUUAGUCCUUAGUGCGCGAUGCGCGGCAAUGGAGAGGUAAGCGGUGCGAAUGCGUGCACUUGCAGGAGGAGACGAGCUAGACGGACGUCGUCAGAACCCGACUGCGUACGCGGAUGUGGGUACAGUAGCGACACGGGCACGACAACGAGUGUGGCGCUGCAACGAAGCGAUUCGGGGCUGAUUUAGCAACGUGUGCAGGGGCAGGAGCUCGUCAUGCCGGGGCUGUGCAGGCUGCGCCGAUCGUGCGCCACGCCGGGCCGAGCCGACAACAACCUGCGAGCUGCGCUAGGACCGGGCUGGCUGCACACCGCGCGCCGCACUAGGGCUACACAGGCUGCGCCAGGUGCACGCUACGCAGGCAGCUGCGCACGGGCUUCGCGCCGGGCAAGCCGCGGGCAGCCAUGGCCAGGGGGCUGGGGGCGGGGCGGGGGGGGGGGGGGGGGGGGGUGGGGUGGGGCUUGGCCGAGCCCGAGUCAUGGCGGGCGACCACCAUGGCGGUGCGCAGAGGGAGGGGGAAGGAGGGGAUGGAGAGAGGAAGGAGAGGGGCUCACCUUGGCGAACCACGGGCGGACGCCGCAGUGGCUAGGCAAGUUCGGUCGCGUGCGAUUUGGGGAGGCAGGGGGCACGGUGUUGGGUGCUUGAAUGGGGGAAAAUCUGGACGUUCCAGGGUCUUAGCG
rnacentral:lncRNA from 1 species